CAGCAGUAGCCACGGGAAUACAGAGGGUGCGAGCGUUAAUCAGAUUUACUGGGCGUAAAGCGUGCGUAGGCGGCUUUUUAAGUCGGAUGUGAAAUCCCUGAGCUUAACUUAGGAAUUGCAUUCGAUACUGGGAAGCUAGAGUAUGGGAGAGGUUGGUAGAAUUCCAGGUGUAGCGGUGAAAUGCGUAGAGAUCUGGAGGAAUACCGAUGGCGAAGGCAGCCAUCUGGCCUAAUACUGACGCUGAGGUACGAAAGCAUGGGGAGCAAACAGGAUUAGAUACCCCCGUAGUCCCUGUCUCUUAUAC
rnacentral:rRNA from 1 species